rnacentral:lncRNA from 1 species
GGAGGUGUUCGACCGGCCGGAGGAGUUCGUGCCGGAGAGGUUCCUCGGCGACGAGGGCCAGGCCCUGCUGCAGCACCUCUUCUGGUCCAACGGGCCGGAGACCUCGCAGCCAGCGGCCGGGAACAAGCAGUGCGCCGCCAAGGAGGUGGUGGUCGACACGGCAUGCAUGCUCGUCGCCGAGCUCUUCCGCCGCUACGACGACUUCCAGGUCGAGGGCACCUCCUUCACCAAGCUCGUCAAGCGCCAGCCGUCGCCGACCAUGUCGGAACCGGCAGCAGCCGGAGCGCAAUGAGCAAUUGAGGAUUAGUAGCAUCAUGUGUAAUUGUGUUCCGAUCCAGCCGCUGAUAAUAAACACUUGUGCAAUUGCUUCUUUUUC